CGCAUCUGUGCAUGCAGCAUAUCAAUAAGCGGAGGAAAAGAAACUAACAAGGAUUCCCCUAGUAACGGCGAGUGAAGCGGGAAGAGCUCAAAUUUGAAAUCUUAAAGGGUUUCCCUUUACGAAUUGUAGUUUAAAGAAGUGUUUUCUGUUGAGGUUUUGGUAAAAGUUCUUUGGAAUAGGACAUCAUAGAGGGUGAGAAUCCCGUAUUUGACCUUUACUUUCAACUUUGUGAUACACUUUCAAAGAGUCGGAUUGUUUGGGAAUGCGGUCCAAAAUGGGUGGUAAAUUUCAUCUAAAGCUAAAUAUUGGCGAGAGACCGAUAGCAAACAAGUACCGUGAGGGAAAGAUGAAAAGAACUUUGAAAAGAGAGUUAAACAGUACGUGAAAUUGUCAAAAGGGAAGCGUUUGACACCAGUGUUGUUUUUCUGAAAAUCAAUUAAAGAACUGUUUAUGCUAAGCUGUUUAGACUUUAUCAGCUAAUCUGUUUAGUUUUGAGCUUUUCUUUAAUGCACUUUUCAGUUAACAAGUCAACAUCAAUUUCUUUUGCUGUAAAAAAGCUUGAGGAAGGUGGCUUGAGAUCCGUCUUAAGUGUUUAUAGCCUCUUGCCUAUGCAGUCGGAGAGAUUGAGGUCUGCAGCGUAGAUCCUUCGGGGCUAAAUGCAUUUGUGCUAAGUUAUAGCAUUUUAUAGACAACUUGUUGACUAUGAUUUGUCUUGUAGCUUACUCGCUUAUGUUAUUUUACCUACGCUUAGGAUGUUGAAUCUGUGCGAGACUAC
rnacentral:rRNA from 1 species